rnacentral:misc_RNA from 1 species
GAAAAACAAUGCCACCACCACCAGCAGACAACCCAAAAGUUGAAUACCAACGCCUUUUCCUUCACUCAUCUUUUAAAAUCUUUGCUGUGACCUUUCAAGCUCAAUUGGGCUUCUUUGCCUUCAAAUUCAUUACGGUGGUUUCCUUGUUCAUAUUUGCAUGAAAAUUUUAGAAUUACUGCUAUGUUAAAACUCAUUGAUUAUAAUAGUUUUCUCUUUCAAUCCAAUUAAUGUAUAUCAAGUAAUAAAUUUAAUCGUUUUCUAUUGAUAAAUUUAUUUCUACUAAUUACAAAAGUAAAUAUCAUAUAUAUAUGACCUCUGCCAUGGCAGGGGUUUGGUGUUGAAACUUUUCAUAUAAUUCUUAAAAGAGCUUUAAUAAUGGAACGGAGAAGAAGAUCGAAUCUGAUUACCUACUCGUUUUGCCUUGUCAACAAAGUGGUCGACCUUUAUGCAGAAGGAACAAUCAAUUGCAGAG